CGUUUAUGAUGAGGAUACUGAGGUUCCAAGGAGGUGCAGAGGCUUGUCCAAAGCCACAGAACUAGAAAGCGAUCAGGUCAGGUGUCAAACCCAGGCGGUCUGCACCUGACCGGUCCGGACCCUGGGGAAAUAGAGCCAGGAAUUAUAAUGACAGGGAAAACAACCUCGGAGAAGUGAGGAGCUUGGCCAAGUUCUCAGAACUAGAAAUAGAUUACCAGGCCAACAGACCAGAGCCUACACUCCCGGCCACUAACUUCCACGUUACAGGUGAACCAUCACGCUCAAGUUUUUCCAUGAAGCAGACACAGCGGCUGGAAAUGACCAGCGGUUGGAGAUCACUAUGCCGCAUAACGUGGGUCUUACUGUCCUGACAGCAAACUAACUGCGAAGAACUUCAGGCAGGGACAUCGCCUCCCUCGCGGCUGCACAAACCCACCCAAGCCAUCUCCCGUGGGCAGGAGUCCUGAUCAGCUGCGGAGCGAAGGGCCGCCUCGGGAGGUGCCAGGGGACCUGUUUCACCCCAAAGUGGGCCAGCGGGGCCCGUCCCCGCCCUGGCGGCGCAGAGCUGACUCAGGGAGUGGGGAGGGAAAGGAAGGCGCCUGCCGCGGGGUCCACUCCGACGCGCUCCCCACCAUGCAGGUUACCGAUCUGCGCCCUUGCCUCGGGGUCACCUCCUUUCCUAACAAGAGAGAGCCCUUAAGCAGGCGAAGCCUCGCCCUCCCCCCAUUUGUAUCAAUGACAACCAUUCCCUGGAGGUGCCCUACGCUUUAGUUUCCGAACAGCUUUGACAUAUGGCCCCAUUGCGUCGGGAGAGGCAGGCCACCGGGUGCCCACACUUUAAAGAGAGGAAACCGAAGCACGGGAGUGGGAGGGGUUUCUGGGGGCUUCGGAAGCGAGGGUGGGGACGAGGUGGGGAAGGUUCCGCAGCCCCUCCCCCCCCGCACCCCCGCUGGUCCCCGCGCUCCACGCGCGCAGCCGGCGGGAGAGCCCCUCCCUGCCGCAGCUCCCGCCACCUCGGUCCCGCCUCCAGCGCGACCCCCUAUCCCAGCUGCCCCGGCGCUGACCACCCGGGCCAAUACCUCUAGCCAUGGCCGCACUCUGUCACCGCAUAGGAUCUCCCGGGAAACGCAGCUUUCGAAAAAAGUUACAACAACUGUAGCCAACUGCUCCGCCGGACCCCGGCUGCUGCCCUGAUUGGCGCCGCCGCCCGCCUUUCCCCAGGCUGCCCGCCGUAAUAGGCGAACUCGAGGGGGAAAGCCCGCCCUUCUCCCCACCUCCCCUGCGGGGGCGGGGCGAGCGCCCGGACUUCAUACAAACGCUUUCAGGACAGGUCCCAGCGGAGGACGUGGGAGGGGGUUUAAAUUUUACCGUCUCCCCAAGUUGAUUGGCUGCGCUGGAAGGACAUCCGCGCUGCCAUUGGGAGGCCCCAAGCUCCGCCCUCUCCGGGUGCUGCAGCUCCGCCCCGGGGAGAUUUAGUCAAGCGGCUGGAGGCCCGGCCUCAGAUUAGAGCCGCUCGGAACUUCCGGUUUUUCGGGCGUUUGACCGGAACCCGACCUUUGACCCCUCGACCUCGCCUUAUGAUCUGGGAAGCCUAGGUCCCAGCAGUUUAACAUCUGCACCACCUUGACCUUUCCAGCAGUUUAAUCCAUUCAUUCCUAAAUUGAAAGAUUUAUCGAGUCCACUCUUACAGUAUUCAGAACCCGCGGGCACAGUUCUUAACCAACCGUUUUACAGAUGGGGAAAGAGAGGACCAGCAGGAACAGGUAACUAACUUACUGCCCAGUGUCACCCAGCAAUUUAAUUGCAGGUCCUGGAUCAGUCUUUUGACUGUUAGUCCACUAGAGGGCUACCUUAACCCCACGGAAACAACCGGGCACCGUUCUCCACCCAGGGGAGCUCGGUCGUAAGGUCCCAGAGAAACACAGGUGUCCUGGGUAUUCCUUGCUUUGAACACAGGUAAGGUGUCCAGUUACAGCUCUUCCCUGGGGACCCCUCCUGGACAUAUGAGGAGAGGUCACUCAUCCAUCCUCUCUCUUCGGUCCCCAAGAAGAUUUUGGAAUCCCCACCAUUGCCCAAGUACCCUACCAUUGCACCAGGAAGGUAGGAGAGCAAAAUAAGGUGAUAUAUGUGAAAGCACUGGGAAAAGUAGGAAGCAACACUUUUCUCACUCACUGUGUGCCCUUUGGUAUAUUAUUUCAGCUCUCUGUCCCUCGGUUUACCCAGCUGUCAAAUGAUGGAGUCAGCUGUGAUCUCCAAGUUGCCUUCCAGCUUCCAUAAAUACAUAGAGGUUUUUACUUUCUCUAAAAUGCAUUAAUUCAACAUUUAUUGAGCUGUAUAGCUGACACUGUCUGGUCCCCCAAGGAUACAGUGGCGAAUAAGACAGAUCCCUACAUUUUUUAGGACAGAAACAAACAAGAAAUCACGUUUUAAAUAUUAAAUAGUGAUUAAUGCUAUGGGUAAAAUGAAAACAGGGAAUUUUACAGAGUGUGAGUGGGGAGAUCAUUGCUUCUAUGGAUUGGUGAAGUCAGAGAAAUCCUCUUUGAGUUGGUGGCUUUAGGUUAUACCCUAAAUAAGUGAGUCCUAAGGGAGAAGGUACUUGUAGGUAGAGGGAAUAGUGAGCGCAAAUGCCCCAGAAGUGGGAAUAAGCUUGGUUGUCUGGGGAAAGAAAAAGAAACCCAAUGUGAUCGGAACUGAGUGUAUGAUGAGAAUGGAGGGUAUCAGGCUGGGAAGGUAGGCAGGGGCUAUAUCACAUAGGCCCUUGAAGGCUGUGCUGGUCUCUCAGCUCCAAAUUCACUCUUCUCCACCCUGCCGUGCAAUAUUUGGGCUGCAAACUGUAGUGCACCUUUGUCAGCUAGUGUUAGGUUCUGUCAAUAGGCGAGGACACAGGGAGACUGGAAGGCAGGGGGAGGGACUCACUCCUGCCCGUUUGCUUGCUAUUUCUGUCAGGGUAAGUAAUGACAUUUUGCUUCUGACAGGCCAUUUGGUUCAUUCUCCAGGCUCUUUCCAGAAAUAGCCUCAGCGUGCUACCUCAGAAGUACCAGCAGCAGCCCCUCUUCAGAGUUCUGAGCCCCAGCUUUGCAGGGCCCCUCCCGUAAGCUCUUGAAGAGCCAGUGCCGAAGUCAUGGUGCCCCUUUCUCAGAGGCAUAAGAACCAGCCCUCCGGGAAUCCUCUUCUGAUUCUUCUUCUCUGCUAACCCCAACGGGUCUCUUUGUUCUCCAGCCCUAGAAAUGGGAGCUGCUUCCUGCAGUUAUUAUUAAAUGACUUCAGUGUUCCCUUUCUGCUUGUUCGGUCCUCCACCACCUGUUUAAUGAAUUUCCUAUUUUAAAUUCUGUUUUCCUGACCGGACCCUGAUGGACACAAAAGCCAUUAGUAAGGACUGAGACUUUUAUCCCAAAUCUGAUAAGAAGCCACUACGUGUUUUAAGCCAGGGGUAGAUGGAUAGAUUGGUCCAUCUGAACAGCAAUUUUCCAAACAGUUAUGCAAACAGAAGGAUUGCAAAUAGCUACAGUUACAGUAAUCUGCAUUGAGACUCGGGAUCUUGGAAAAAUGUGACAUGCUUCAGGACUGCCUGCUUACCGAUCUCCAUUUUCCUAAGAUGACGUGGGUGAAACCACACCAGUGCUGAGAUGACUUUCCUUACUCUAGGGUUAUCUUUGCAUUAAUAUUUGCUCCACGCUUUUGCUAUUGUUUAAUACUUUUUCAUUAGCAUCAGUUCUUUUUUUUAAUGGAAGGGGUUUUAAAAAAUUUAUUAUUUACUUAUUUAUUUUUAUUUUUGGCUGCGUCUGGUCUUAGUUAUGGCACUCUGGAUCUUCGUUGCGGCACGCGGGCUUCUCUCUAGUUGUGGCGCGUGGGCUCUGUAGUUUGCGGCACACGGGCUCUCUCACUGAGGCGCGCAAGCUCAGAAGUUGUGGCGCGCGGGCUUAGUUGCCCCACAGCAUGGGGGAUCUUAGUUCCCUGACCAGGGAUCGAACCCGUGCCCCCUGCAUUUUAAGGCGGAUUCUUUACCACUGGACCACCAGGGAAGUCCCAGCAUCAGUUCUUAAAAGGUUCUACCGAAUGGGACAUGUAUUCCACAGCUGGUGACCACUGUGAUCUACUAAUUCCUUCCAUUCAUCUUUGUGGCGAGUGAGGGAUACUCUUCGUUGUGGCGCCCGGGCUUCUCCUUGCGGUGGCUUCUCUUGUUGCAGAGCACGGACUCCAGGCACGCAGGCUCAGUAGU